GAUGAACGCUAGCUACAGGCUUAACACAUGCAAGUCGAGGGGCAGCGCAGUGUAGCAAUACAUGGGCGGCGACCGGCGCACGGGUGCGUAACGCGUAUCCAACCUUCCCGUUACUCAGGGAUAGCCUUCCGAAAGGGAGAUUAAUACCUGAUGGUGUUUGAAUUCCGCAUGUUAUUCAAACUAAAGAUUUAUCGGUAACGGAUGGGGAUGCGUGACAUUAGGUAGAUGGCGGGGUAACGCCCACAUGCCUACGAUGUCUAGGGGUUCUGAGAGGAAGGUCCCCCACACUGGAACUGAGACACGGUCCAG
rnacentral:rRNA from 1 species